CAGCCUUUAAAAAAAUAUCCAAGACUUCGAGGAGUCUCCAAUGGAGAUGUUUAGGUGACUUUCAGGUCCUCAGAGAGUGGUGGCUGGUCAAUGCAAAUCUUGGUCCAGACCUAGGUCUUGCCGCUGGCAGGGGCUGUGUUGGCGUCAGGAAGGCGCUUGGUGCAGCGGCAGAGACUCUAAGGGGGGUAUUGGGGAUCUGUGCCCCUCCUGCGCUCACGGAUAAGGGAAGCCCCUUCAAAGGGAUCCGCGGGUAAUAGAAUCCUUUGCAGACAGCUUCAAGUGGAGAGCCAGCCGAGUACACUACAGGGUCUCAAAACGCUGUGCUUCUAAAAAAAAAAAAAAAAAAAUGUAGUUGGAUUUAAAAAUGCGUUGACUGAAAUUCAUUUAAGAUUAGACACUGCAUGAAUAUUCUACACCAUCCAUCCAUGCACUCAUCUAUCUGUUUUAGAUGGACUCUUGAGUGACUGACUGUUUUGCCUAAGUCGUCGAAUGUUGCUGGCCAGAUGCCCUCUCAUCCCCAAUAGUAGAGAUCCAUGGCCGCGUUUUGCUUUGGUCUCCUUCCCUCCCCCAGAAUGUGGCUAUUUUUCCCAGCCCGCGGGCGUGUAUGUAGGUGUAUGCCUAGACUGUGUUUACCAAAGUGUCCUUCUAGUUAUCAGGCAGCGACAUCCGCUCCACUGAAGGUUAAAGGAUCGAAAUGGUUUCAUAGGUGUUCGGAUGAUUCCCCAGCAUUAAGGAAAAGAUAAGUGCCCUGAUUGUCUUUAUUUUUCCUUUAUUUCCCCUCUGGAUUCCUUUUGCACUUUGAUCCUUAGCAAGAAGGGAAAGGGAAGAACUGCAGGCACUCCCCUCUCCUCCUUCCUUCCCCGCCUCUGUUCCUACCCAAACACGAACACAUUCACCCACUCACAUGCAUCUACACCCAGCUAGUGCCUCCACCUUCUGUUCCCACUCCGAAGUGGAUAGCGGCGGGGACCGGAGAGGAGAAAGUGCAUAUAGCAUGUUUGGCCGCUCUUGUUUCUCCAGGUCUG
rnacentral:lncRNA from 1 species